UGUUUGGGUCCCUGCUGUAAAUAAACCAUUAUGAGAUCCCAUUACAAACCAAGCUCAGUCUGCAGCGACUCAGUCUACGGAGACCCAGAGGAACUUACACGCCUUAGAAAGAUAGACAGGACGAGAGAGAGAGAGACAGAGGUCAAAAGAGAGAUUGUUAGACAGAGACAGAAAGAAACAGAAAAGGAGACAGGGAGAUAAAAGGAAAUGAGAAAGAAGAGAGAGACAGAAAAUUAGACAGAGAUAGAAAAAGAGACGCAUAGACAGAAAAGGAGACAGAGGAAGAAAGAGAGAGGGAAAACAAAGAGAGGGAAUGGCAUCAAUGGACACUAGCUGCCCAGAGACAAACAACAACAGCUUUUGAUUGAAAGAGCGCUGGAUUAUUGGUUUAAUCAGAUUACUGUGCAACAACCCUGCUGUCAUUAAUCUGGAGCAGCCUAAUGAAGGCCUGACCCAGUAGACUUCAUCCCUACACCCUGCCUGCCAGGGAUAGCUUCCUGUCUGCCAGUUACAACUUCCUGUCUUCCAGGAGGAGCUGGGAAGCAGGUGCUAUGCCCUCUCCGCUGAAACCUUGAGUUGCGUAGCCUACUCAAUGUCCGGCCCAGUUUACAACAGUUCACUACCAGGAAGGGCACCUUCUGACUAAUUUGAAGGACACAAGGCAUGCGUCGUUACAUAACGUUACGUAAGGAGCCGAGCCAUGUAGCACACAAUGAAACAGUGUUUGGAUUCCCCAAGAUUGUUCUGUUCUGCUUAUUGGCAACUCUCACACACCUUAAUUGGACCAGGAUUGGGGCACAAUUGAACAGGAACCCUCAGUAAUAUCUACUGAGGCUAAUGAGCAUAAUCUGAUGAAAGGACCUGUGUUCCCCCCCGAGUUUGGAUACAAGUGCACCAGACCUGUACUUUGCCCUCCUUUAUCCAUUUGUGAAGCGAAUACAAUAGGAGUGUGUGUGUGUGUGUGCAUGCGGCUGGUCUUAAGUGUAUUCCAUAGACCUUCCUGCACUGUGCUGACUGAUGCUCAGAGAAACCCGGCCUCUGUUUUUAAGUAAAAACAAUAAGGAAACUGAGCUAUUUGUUAUCAACAAAUAAUGAUAUUUCUUGUUUUCAAUCAAUAAUAAAAAGGGUACAUAUGUUUUUUUUCUGGUUUGUCCUACAGGAGGACUCUAGUGCCCUAUUCCUCAUG